rnacentral:hammerhead_ribozyme from 1 species
AUUCAGCUGACGAGCUCCAAGUAGGACGAAACGCGCGUCCCGGAU